rnacentral:rRNA from 1 species
GACGAACGCUGGCGGCGUGCCUAAUACAUGCAAGUAGAACGCUGAAGGAGGAGCUUGCUUCUCUGGAUGAGUUGCGAACGGGUGAGUAACGCGUAGGUAACCUGCCUGGUAGCGGGGGAUAACUAUUGGAAACGAUAGCUAAUACCGCAUAAUAGUAGAUGUUGCAUGACAUUUGCUUAAAAGGUGCAAUUGCAUCACUACCAGAUGGACCUGCGUUGUAUUAGCUAGUUGGUGGGGUAACGGCUCACCAAGGCGACGAUACAUAGCCGACCUGAUAGGGGGAUCGGCCACACUGGGACUGGGACACGGCCCAGACUCCUACGGGAGGCAGCAGUAGGGAAUCUUCGGCAAUGGACGGAAGUCUGACCGAGCAACGCCGCGUGAGUGAAGAAGGUUUUCGGAUCGUAAAGCUCUGUUGUAAGAGAAGAACGAGUGUGAGAGUGGAAAGUUCACACUGUGACGGUAUCUUAACAGAAAGGGACGGCUAACUACGUG